rnacentral:rRNA from 1 species
GACGAACGCUGGCGGCGUGCUUAACACAUGCAAGUCGAACGGAAAGGCCCUGCUUUUGUGGGGUGCUCGAGUGGCGAACGGGUGAGUAACACGUGAGUAACCUGCCCUUGACUUUGGGAUAACUUCAGGAAACUGGGGCUAAUACCGGAUAGGAGCUCCUGCUGCAUGGUGGGGGUUGGAAAGUUUCGGCGGUUGGGGAUGGACUCGCGGCUUAUCAGCUUGUUGGUGGGGUAGUGGCUUACCAAGGCUUUGACGGGUAGCCGGCCUGAGAGGGUGACCGGCAAAAUGGGAAUGAGGAUAGGGCCCGACCUCUUCCGGGGGGAAGAGGUGGGAAUAAUGCAACAUGGGCGGAAGCCUGAUGCAGCAACGCCGCGUGCGGGAUGACGGCCUUCGGGUUGUAAACCGCUUUCGCCUGUGACGAAGCGUGAGUGACGGUAAUGGGUAAAGAAGCACCGGCUAACUACGUG